CCCCCAUGGCCAUAGCCCACCCCACUCCCCGAAAGCUGAUCCUAAAUACCUUCCCCGAGGCUUUCAAAGGAACCCAGACACCAGUUCAGCAGCCCGCAGCUCACGCAACAGGCGGAGCCUUGGGGCUCCAGCGACGGCGGGCUCUCGGCACCAGAGCAUGCGGACGCCGCAAGCCAGGCGCCCAGCAGCACAGAAAGUGCCCUGCGGCCGUAGACCCUCGGGGUCGUGCACCCGCGACCUGGACCACAGGGGACUGUGGCAGCAAAAGUCUUGCCUCCUCGCCUGUGGAAAAGGAUCCAAAGCAUUGGUUUACACUGCUAUUUACAAGCAACUGAAGAAGGUAAUCAUGUGAAGCCAAUGAAAUAAUAAACAGGACCACUUCGGAUGACCCAUAAGGCAGAUCUGCUCCCCAAAAGUUUACUCUUGAAUGUUGACGAAGGUUGAGCUAGGCAAAAUGGUAAAUUCACACACACGGUAUGUAGCCCCUUCCCCAACCCCAGUCUCCAUUACCAGGGGCAAGUUGUAACCUAACUGCCUCCUUUUACCCACACACCCAUCUCCUGCCCAGUCUUUAUGCCUGGUGAUAUGACACCCCAUUCCCUCUUAAUUAACUGUGCUUAUAGGGAAGCAUCUGGAUACGCUAUGCAUUUAAUCUGUGAGGAGUCGAUCAUUUACUCAUCAUUGACAGUAAUGCUCAUUCCUGUGUCAUUUCAGAGGACUUCUGGAGUGGAUGGAGACACAUGCCACCAAUAGAUGCAUUUCAGUCUGUCUUCCGGGCCUCCUUUAGAGGUCUCCCUCUCUUACCCACCUGUCACACGCCCAUGUCUUCCACAGCCAAACCUGUCCCCAACUUUUUGUUCUCACUAAAGUCCAAAUGACAGAAAUUUAGCUGGAUUAGUACUUACCUUCGCCUUGAAGGAAAGGGAAGUGCUCAUUAGCUUCUUACAUUGGAACAGGUCUGCAGGUGAAAAUGAAGCUGUGCUCAUCUCUGGCAGGAAGGUUGGGCAUGAGGUGUCUAGUCCUAAUGAGCAGCGUUUAUUUGGUGGGUGCCUCCCACUUGCCACUUUCUACACAGCCACCUGAGUAUCACUCCAGUUAGUCUGAGCAUAUGAAACACAUGCAACUCCCUAGACCCACCAUGCUUUUUCAUGACUCUGAACACACAGCAGUGCCUCCUCCGCUAAGAACACAGUUCCCCACUACCAAGCUUUGCUUUGCCCAACAGACCCCUUCCCCUUAGGACGAGAUUCAGUGGAUAAUGACAUCAUAAUCAAUCAUGACCCUCUGGGAAGCCGCCUCUCUCAUCCUGGGUUGUAUGUCUCCUCUCCACACUCCCUCAGCACCCUUUGCCUCCCUCUUUCAUAGAAUCUACCAUACGAGAUUUUAACUGUUUAUCUUCCACUCGACGAUGAACUCCUUGAAGACUGAAUUUCUAGGACCUUUUGUUGGAUCUGCACAUUUGUGAAGUGAAUUACUGAAGGCUGCCCAGUUUCAUCUGCUCCUAGUCAAAACCUAAAUCCCUUAUUUCUAUGCUAUUUUUUGUCAGGUAAAAAUAAAACAUGUAAACCAUCAUAUCGCUGUCUUUGCUUGGCUGCCAGGAAGCUCAGAACUAAAUUUACGUUAAAUUAAAUUUGGUUCUCAACCAGCUAGAAUGUUUUUAUUUCAGAUUAUUGCUACAAUGAUCAUGCUCUUUUCACAAAAUUAUUGUAUGCUCACUCUAACUGCC
ensembl:lincRNA